rnacentral:misc_RNA from 1 species
GAAAGGUUAAAGGAGAAAAAUUUUUAGUGGCAAAUUUUCUCCUAUAAGGUGGUCAAGAGGAAAACACUUCAUGUUAGCCAAAUUACACAUGAUCAGAUAAUUAACAGCUGUGAUACUGCAAUCUUGUAAUUUAUGGAGUUUUUAUUUCUGUCAUCCACAUUUAUGAUUGAGUUGAUUGAGAUUUUAAGUGUGCACAAUAGUAAAUCAUUGUGCUAAACCAUGGUCAGUUGAGAAUUAAUUUUCUGUAAACCUCCUUGUGCAUGCAUUUCCAUACAUGUUUUUGUGUUUAUUACAUAUUUCAGUUGCAAAUUAUAUGAUCUUAUUUAAUGAUAGUGAGUUUCUAGAAGAUUCAUUUCAUAUCAUAAAGGUUUUCAGACUGAGAUGCUGUCUGAAUUUAGAAGUUCUCUUUUCCAGGCAGGUAGAAACCUU